GAUGAACGCUGGCGGCGUGCCUAAUACAUGCAAGUCGAGCGGACGGACGAGAAGCUUGCUUCUCUGGUGUUAGCGGCGCACGGGUGAGUAACACGUGGAUAACCUCCCUAUAAGACUGGGAUAACUUCGAGAAACCGGGGCUAAUACCGGAUAAUAUUUUCAACCGCAUGGUUCAAAAGUGAAAGACGGUCUUGCUGUCGCUUAUAGAUGGAUCCGCGCUGCAUUAGCUAGUUGGUAAGGUAACGGCUUACCAAGGCAACGAUGCAUAGCCGACCUGAGAGGGUGAUCGGCCACACUGGAACUGAGACACGGUCCAGACUCCUACGGGAGGCAGCAGUAGGGAAUCUUGCGCAAUGGGCGAAAGCCUGACGGAGCAACGCCGCGUGAGUGAUGAAGGUCUUCGGAUCGUAAAACUCUGUUAUUAGGGAAGAAGAUAUGUGUAAGUAACUGUGCACAUAUUGACGGUACCUAAUCAGAAAGCCACGGCUAACUACGUG
rnacentral:rRNA from 1 species